AUGUUCCUGGGUAACCCAAUUCCUCUUGACGCUUCUGUCUCUAGCAGACUCUAUCGUCAUCAACAAUUGUCCGAACUUGCUUCUCAUGUUCCUCUUGGUGUUCUUCCUUCAUUGGCUCCUUCUCCUCGUAAGGAAUUUGGGUCCUUUUCACUUCAGUCUCUUCUCCUUGACCUCACUGGCAAUAAUUG